AACGCACAUUGCGCCCUCUGGUAUUCCGGAGGGCAUGCCUGUUCGAGCGUCAUUAUCACCAAUCAAGCACGGCUUGCUAUUGAGCUUUUCCCCGGGAAGUCUAUCCAGCGGGGGCUCGAAAGAUAGUGGCGGCGUCUUCGACCUCGAGUACAACGAGCAUCUCCCUUGAGAGGCACGUACUCUGGCGGGCGGUAGGCGUCGAUCCAGAAUCCCUUGUCUUCUGACGGUUGACCUCGGAUCAGGCAGGAAUACCCGCUGAACUUAA
rnacentral:misc_RNA from 1 species